rnacentral:rRNA from 1 species
AUACGGAGGGUGCAAGCGUUGUUCGGAAUCACUGGGCGUAAAGGGCGCGCAGGCGGUUUGGUAAGUCAGAUGUGAAAGCCCACGGCUCAACCGUGGAAGUGCGUUUGAAACUGUCAGACUUGAGUACUAGAGGGGAAAGUGGAAUUCCCGGUGUAGAGGUGAAAUUCGUAGAUAUCGGGAGGAAUACCGGUGGCGAAGGCGACUUUCUGGCUAGAUACUGACGCUGAGGCGCGAAAGCGUGGGGAGCAAACAGGAUUAGAAACCCUAGUAGUCC